rnacentral:lncRNA from 10 species
ACAGCUUCGGGACGACUGGAUCGCCGCGCCUGGGCCGGAGCGAGCCAUCUGCGGGCACUAUGCAAAGCGGGAGACGGCGCGAGCGGCGCCCGGCUCACACUAGCUCUUCCAGGACGCAGGUGUUCUAACCGGGAUGUGACAGUUGAGGCUGGGAGCAGAAAUAAUCAACAUGCCCAUUAGAUACAGGACGGAAUAAUGCUUCUAUUGGUUGGGUCCCUUCGAGAGAGAACCAUUCUCUGCUUUCAAUAGGACAGAAGAGCUCCUUGGCACUGGAUGCCUCCGGGUCUGGUUGAGAGAGGAAUGGUUAGGAGACUGUUCUGAGGAUACGCAGACAUCAUCCAAAGCUUCCUACAUUCAGAUGAGGACAGAGGUUGGGCCAGAGCUUUGUAAGCUUGUUACCUAAGGAUGGUUCUGACCAUGUAAGCAGAUCACAGAAGCUAUUCACAGAUCAUCAUCAGCCAGAGGUGACUUCUGUUGCUUGCAGCUCAGAAUCCUAGAUGUUUCCGGUGGCACUGAAGAGCCUCUGCUGAAGCUCUAUACCAUUUGCCAUUUACAAAGGGAAAUGAAAUAAUAACGCUGACCAUUUGUGGAGCACAUUCUGUCUGGAGGCAAAGGAUGCCAAGAUGGGAAAGCCACAUAAUGGAAGGAUCCUGGAUUUCAGAGCUGUCACUUGGAGGAGGGGCACCCAGUGAAGGUGUCUUAUCUAACCCACACCAUAUCUUCAUGAAGUGGCCAUAUGGAUUUGAUCCCUAUCCUUCAGAGGUGCUCAGCCUAAGGGAACACGGAUAGUAGAUUAAGCACUGACCAGGUGAAAAAGAUUGAUCAUCAGAUGUUUCUUAUGUAUCAACCUGAUAUUUAAAUCCAUGAAGGACAGAGACGACAAAGGCAGGUGGAAUAGAUAGAGAAGAGAUUCAAGGUCUGAGCUCUACAUUACUCAAACUGUUAGAGAUUAGGAAGAAGAGGAAGACCUGGCAAAAGAAUGUCCUGGGAUGUAGAAAGAAAACCAGAAGCUUGUGUUCUCUGGAAACCAAAUGAAGAAAGGGCUUCCAGAAGGACAGACAAAGUGUAGUGUGUCAAAGGCUCCUGAGCAAUCAGAGGAGAGCACAAAGGGGCUCACAGGACUUUGGUAUCUGGAUCACCCAGUGACACUUCCUGAUCACGAGAAACUGUCAGACCAACAGGGGCACUUUCUGAAACCAGCAGUUCUUCAGUGCCCAAAUGCAACCUUGAUGGUUUGAUUUUGGAGGAUGGCAAUUCAUUAACAGCACUCCCCAGUGAUAAAUAUGAAAACCAAUAAAACCCCCCACCCAAGGCAAUCUCUCCCAGCUCCUCGCUUUGAGUAAAGUGAGUAACCUCCAUUUCUGCCAACUCCUGUCUUGUCUGAAGCCACAUUUCCCCAGCAAUGUCACAUAUGCAUUUCUUGAUCCUGGUCAUUUCUCCUCUUGGGAGAUGAAUCAUAAAGAAAAUGAGAUCUGUGUGCCCUGGUGACUAUGGAUGCAAGAGUCUGCUGCCCUGGAGGGAACAGCUGGAAAAGUAGAUGGUGAAGACGUGUGGGGGGGAAACAGUGGAGAAGGCAUCUUUGCAGGGGAUCAAGGUGACAGAGUGAUUAGUUACACUGUUUUGACAUGUGAGAACAGGGGGUUAUAAAAAUGGAUACAGGAAGAGGGAGAGAAAGUAAGGACCAAAACAUGAAGCCAGUCAUGAAUGUUUUUACAUAAAAAGCAGCAGAUUUACGGCAAAUAUGUGAUGUUUCCACAUUUUCUGCCUCUAGUUAGCAGGGGCAGCACAAAGAGCAUUACUGUGGAGCUGAACUUUGGGUAAAAGAUUAACAGCCAGUCCUUUCUCUCCAGUGUCUGCUUCCUUCUGGGCUUGCCCUGGGGGAAAAGGAGGGCUGGCAUGGAUAUGCCUGCAGCCCUCACCCUAGAUGUUCUUCCACGCCUCUCUGUUCAUUCAUUGCUUAGUCAUUCCUCAGGCAUGGAUUGAGACCACUGUGUGCCCAGGACCGACCUGGCCUAGGAUGGACAUAGAGAUGGAAAAGGCACAGGGAGCAGGUGACAGAGACAAAUCAAGGUCAUGGAGAAUAGCAGAGUAAGAUAGAAGAUGAAGGCAGGAGAUGGGGUUCUUGAGAAAGCGAGAGCAGGACUGACCCGUGUCUGCCUCACCUGUUAUUGCUGUAGCCUCUUCUCCUUGGAGUAUCCCUCCUGCUCUUGCAUCACCUUAGGAACUUGGAUCAGAGAGGAAAGUUACGGCCUGGAUAUGUUGUAGUAGGAGGGGACAAACAUGUUUGGAGACAGAAAUGCUUGGGGAGCGGGUGUUUUUGGGGGAUGAGACUUUCCAGGUCUCUCAAUUCACACUAUGUAGGUAGUUCACUGCACAGCUUAAAUAAGAGACAACUCUCCGGAGUGGUUGGCUCUCAUCCAAAAAAUGUGUUUUGGGCCUCAGAUUUCCAACGGAAGGGCUGAAGCGUGACUGGCCUGAUGUCAACUACUGAAGUCCACCUGCCCCUGCCCUAUCAGGUGUGGAAAUGCUGGGGUUCCUCUCUCAGAACCUACUUCCUGAGAUGUCGAAAUAUACCCAAGAGUAUUUCUGGGCCUUCUCCAAUCCGAAACUGUUUAGUUUUUGUGUGUGUGUGCCUACUUGGCCACACUAGAAGACAGAGGUGGCCUGGGUGAAAUGCAGGUUUCUAGAGGCUCUCUGACAAAGCUCAGGCCACCAGCCCCAGGCCAGCCUGUGGGUAGUCCUGGCUGACAGUCACUUCAUACCUCACCUGGGCUUUUUGCCAAAUUCAAAGUGUGUGUAUAUGUGGAGUGCUGGGUUCCCACCACUGACAGUCUGUAAGUCAUUCACUUAGCUCAAUUUGUCUUACUUUCUUCUGAAAUUUCUUCCUUCUUGUUCUUUUUCCCAGGAGAAACCAGGAGAAGGCAGUCCUAGGGCAGUCUCCGGGCCAGCUUUCCCUAAUAAGAAGGCAGAGCUCCUCUUCACCCAGACUUCAGACCUAUAGAGGCAGCCUGGGGUCCCGGGAUGCCCUUGCACUCAGAGAUGUCCCCAGAGUCCUAGGGAAAUGGAGGAUAACUAGGAGGAAGCUGUUCAUGGCUGGCGAUGAGGUCUAUACCUUCUUGUCCGUCUCAGUGCUGUCUGCUAUUGAAUUUUUGUGCAGAUCACAUUAACUUAAAGCCAGUUCUCAAGAAGCUCCCCCUGCCGCCGGCAUAUCCACCAGUUGCUCCCCUUUCCUGCCAUUAAUCAGGGUCUGCUAGUUAGAGAACAAAUUCCUAUUUGUCCAAACAGUUGCCAACACCCCCACCCCAAGGUAGUUAAAUGAGGAUGAAUGGGUCAUUCUUAUUAAAAAAUGACUUAAAUUUCUCAAAUUCUAUUUAUGUUUCUUUUACAUCCCAAUUUUCUAUAGAUUUAGUGACUCCAAAUGAUAAGGUCUCAAGCUCAUAAUAAUUUAUCCCUUGGGUAACACACAAGGCUUGGUGGUAUUUCAGUAAUAUUCAUGACAACAGCAGCUGUCGUGCUAAUAAGGACUGAUGUCACCAGAGCACUUUCUAUGUGCCAAGCAUGGUGCACAACACUUUACAUACAUUAUGUCAUUUAAUUUUCACAAAACCUCACAGAGGUAAAUAUUAUUAUCUUCCUCUGCAUAUAAGGAAAUGAAUGUUCGGAAAGAUUAAGUCAACUCACUGAGGUCCCAUCAGUGCUCUUUCAUAUGCCUCUGUUGCAGUCUCAUUGAACUGCUGAAAUCAGAAAAACCUGGAGACCUUGUUAACCUUCAGAUUCCUGGGCCCCAUCUUAGAUGCAGGGAGUCAGACUUCCUGGGAGUGUGGCCCUGGAAUUUUCAUUUGUAAACACAUUCCCCAAGAGACCUGUAUGCACACUAAAGUGGGAGAAUUCACGAUCUCUGGCUUUUGUGAUGUUUUAAACGCACUAUAUAAUUUCAGUAGCAAAAGAAUUGGGCUUUGGGAAGGGAGUGUGUGGUGAACCCUGAAAGCUGAAUGGACUUCCUUCCUGUGGAGGAGCAGUGGGAGAAACUGGAGGCAGAGAGCUGUGUUUCAUUCCUUGAUUGAGCCUUUGUGAGUUAUUUAAUCUCUUUCAGUCUCUAUUUUUUUCAUUUGUAAACCAGGAAGGAUACUUGUAUUUUCCAGGUGGUUGUGAGGUGUGAAAGAGAUGAGAGUAGAACAAAAUUUUAAAAGUUGAAAGCACUCAACAAAUGUAUUUGGUAUUAAUCAUGGGUUUCCCUGGGGCCGAGGAAGCCACCAGCCACCGCAGGCCUGUACACAAUGCCAGCCACCAUGUAUGGAUACGGAGGAGGCAAAAGGACUAGCGAACACUCCCAGGGACUGGAUGUCUUGAAUAUCUGUCCAACUUUCUUGGGAGGGGCCAUUUCUUCUGUAACUCAAAGGAAUUUAUUAUUUUUCAGCCAGGGAGGCAUGCUUUCUAUCUACUGCUAGUACUCCCAGACCAAGCUGUUUCAGUGGGACUGAGGUGUGACUUCUGCCUCGGUUUCAUCCAUCUGUGCAGGGAAGAGAAAAAUGCCUGCACCUCCACGGUCACACCCUCUGUUGGAACCACCUCCUUAAGCCAGAAUUAUUGAAUGUUCUCUAUGUGCCAGAAUUAUUAUUAUCUCAUUUGAUUCUCACAACAAUGCCAUGAAGUCUAUACAGACAUACCUUGGAAAUACAGCGGGUUUGGUUCCAGACCACCGCAAUAAAGCUAAUACCGCAAUAAAAUGGGUCACACGAAUUUUUUGGAUUAGGCUUCGGCUUAAGGGAAUGUUGUGGCUGGUUUGAUGUUUUAUCCAGACCGCUAACACUUUCUCCCUAUCAGCAAUGAGGCUGUUUUGCUUUCUUAUCAUUCCUGUGUUCACUGGAGUAGCACUUUUAAUUUCCUUCAAGAACUUUUCCUUUGCAUUCAUAACUUGGCUAACUGUUUGGCACAAGAGGCCUGCCUAGCUUUUGGCCUAUCUAAGCUUUUGACUUGCCUUCCUCACUGAGCUUAAUCAUCUCUAGCCUUGGAUUUAACGUGGAAAAUGUGUGACCCUUCCUUUCACUUGAACACUUGGAAGCUAUUGUAGGGUUAUUAACUGGCCUAAUUCAAUAUUAUUGUGUCUCAGGGAACAGGGAGGCCCAGAGAGAGAGAGACGGGAAAACAGAAAGUCAGUGGGGCAGGCAGAACACACACGUUUAUUUAUUAAGUUUGCUGUCAUAUGUUGGUGCAGUUCAUGCUGCCCCAAAACAAUUACAAUAACAAGAUCAAAGAUUCCUGGUCAUAGAUUGCCAUAACAGAUACAGUAAUCACGAAAAAGUUUGAGAUAUUGUGAGAAUUACGCAGAUAUUGUGAGAAAUAUGACCCAGAGACAAGAAGCGAGCACAUGCCGUUAGAAAAAUGGCACCAACAGACUUGCUUGCUGCAGGGUUACACAUACCUUCAAUUUGUAAAAAAAAAAAACUGUAAUAUCUGCAAAACGCAAUAAAGAAAAGUGUAAUAAAAUGCAGUCUGCCUGAACUUCAAUUAUUCCCAUUUUAUAGAAGAGGAAAUAGAUGCAGGGAGUUUGAUCUGCCUGAACUAGUAAAUGGUAGAACUCUGGGACUAACAUUCCUAUCCUCUAUGCUACAUUCCUAGGAAAGAACGCUCAGACAGGGUUGGACUGAGAGUGUGUUAAGCUUUGCACUGUUUUGAGCCCUCUGAAGGAGUGUCCGUAUUUGAAAGCUGGCCUCCUUCCUUUCACUGGCCCUCCACAGUGUGGCCUAAGUUAUUCAAUUAGGAAGGGAAAUAAUUGGCAGUGGAGAAUGCCUCUAGCAGUGGUAAUUACCUCCAGUGCCUUGUAGGAAUAGUCAAGCUACAUUUCAGUUUAUGCUGUAAAACCUUAAUUAUAAUAUAAACAGCUGCCCUUCAGCCCAGUGGGGCAGCCUUCCCCCGCCUUCCUUCUCUGGCCUCUGAAUGGCCCUGCCUCCUGAAUGGUCAGGGAGGUCCAGGGACGGAAGGAGACCUGGGAGGAGGGGAGCCGAUGACUAUGCGUGCGUUGGGGUUUGGAAGACUAAGCUGGAGGGAGCCACUGCCAGGGUCCCAUCUUCAAGUGAUGAAGCCAAAGGCAGCAUCCCCAUUCUUGGUACCACUCACACUGAGUCUCUUGGGGGAGCAGCCUCCAGCCAUUAGCAGUCAGCCCAGUGCCAUUAGGCUAGGAUAGGGUUUAGCAGGCUAUGGUAUCAUUUCAGGGUAACAUCUCUUUCUAUUUACUCCCCUAUAAGGGAGAACAGAGUCUUCCCUUCUAGAUCCAGACUUCCUGGCCAUGUAGGAGCCCUGUUGAGUGCCUGGUGCACUCUAGGUAGUAUGCGAGGCAUGGUUGCAAGGGUUCCCCAUUUCAACUUCACAGCACUUGGAUACACAGAAAAUUAACAUCCUCAUUUGACUAUUGAGGAAAAUGAGACUUUGAAAGUUUAAACGGAGAUAAGGCUUGGGAGGCAGACAGCCCUGUAAGUGACUUAAGUUCAGGAAGGAGAAGGACACUCAAUAUUUUUGUUCAGAGCACUGGGAAGGAGAGAGAGGGAUCAGUCACCAUCGGGCAUUUGAGAAGGUCCAGGAACAGGGGGCUGGUGAGCAGAGGGGGGAAUAACACCAGAGGGGCUGAAAUUGCUGAUUGCUGGGUUCACAGAUCUACCCACGAGCGGCCCAGGUACCCCAUGAGCGGCUGCUCUGUGUCAUCUGACCACUGGAUUGUAACCUGGGCUGAAAGAAUCAGAAGUCAGUGUGGCGAGGCAGGAGUCCUCAGAUGGUCAGAGCUGACUCUUCAACUCUUAAGGGCAAAAUGGAAAAUGUGAGCUUGUUGGUGGUCUUCGAAACACAGUAAGCAAUCCAUGCCCCUGAAGAGCAGGGAUAAUUAUAGGCAUGCCCUUGUUUUAUUGUGCUUUGCAGAUAUUGCAUGUUUUUACAAAUUGAAGAUUUAUGGCAACUCUGCAUACAGCAAAUCUAUUGAUGCCAUCUUUUUCCAAUAUCACAUGCUCACUCUGUGUCUCUGUCUCACAUUUUGGUAGUUCUCCCAAUAUUUCACACCUUAUUAUUAUUAUUAUAUCUGUUAUGAUGAUCUGUGGUCAGGGAUCUUUGAGGUUACUAUUGUAGUUGUUUUGAGGUGCCAUGAACUGCACCCAUGUAAGACAGCGAACAUAAUCAAUAAAUGUUGUGUGUUCUGACUGCUCCACCAACCGACUGUUUCCCUGUCUCUUUCUCUCUCCUCUGGCUCCCUAUUCCCUGAGGCACAAUCAUAUUGAAAUUAGGCCAAAUAAUAACCCUACAAUGGCUUCUAAAGGUUCAAGUAAAAGGAAGAGUCACAUCUCUUACUCUAAAUCAAAAGCUAGAAAUGAUUAAGCUUAGUGAGGAAGGCAUGUGGAAAGCUGAGA